rnacentral:rRNA from 1 species
GACGAACGCUGGCGGCGUGCCUAACACAUGCAAGUCGAACGGAAAGGCCCUGCGUUUGUGCGGUGCUCGAGUGCCGAACGCGUGAGUAACACGUGAGUAACCUGCCCUUGUCUUUCGGAGAACAUCAGGAAACUGGGGCUAAUAUCGGAUAGGAUCUCCUGCAGCGUGGUGGGGGGUGGAAAGUUUCGGCGGUUGGGGAUGGACUCGCGGGUUAUCGGCUUGUUGGUGGGGUAGGGGCUUACCAAGGCUUUGACGGGUAGCCGGCCUGAGAGGGUGACCGGCCACAUUGGGACUGAGAUACGGCCCAGACGCCUACGGGAGGCAGCGGUGGGAAGUAUUGCACAAUGGGCGGAAGCCUGAUGCAGCAACGCCGCGUGCGGGAUGACGGCCUUCUGGUUGAAAACCGCUUUCGCCUGUGACGAAGCGGGAGUGACGGUAAUGGGUAAAGAAGCACCGGCUAACUACGUG